CUGCACUCAUCUGUGUGUGUGUAUUCAGUUCUAAACAAUGUCAUCACACGUACACAUGUGUAUCCACCAUCACAAUCUAGAUCUGAACAGUUGUUACCAUAAAGAUCCCUCAUGUCACCUUUUAGAAGCACCUACCAUCCUGUGACCCCCCCCAUCCCGAACCCCUGAUGGCCACCACCCUCUCCCCACUUGUACAGUUUUGCCAAUAAGCAAAUGUGAGAGAGAUGGAAUCACCCUGUGUGUGACCCCCGGCAUUGGCUUUUUCCACUCAGGGCAGUUUCCCUGGACGCAUCCACAUUGGCAUGUGUAUCAAUGGUCUGUCCCCUUUAUUGCUGAGCAGUAUUCCGCGGUCUGGACGUACCAGGGUUCGUUUUAACCGUUCACCUGCUAAAGGCUGUCCAGGCCGUUUCCAGUUUGGGGCUCUUGUGAACACAGCUGCUGUGAACAAGUGUGUGCAGGUGUCUGUGCAGACAGAAGUUUGAUUCCUCUGGAUCAACACGCGAGGGCGCAGCGGCUAGGUCGUAUGACAGUUGGAUCAACACGCGAGGGCGCAGCGGCUAGGUCGUAUGACAGUUGGAUCAACACGCGAGGGCGCAGCGGCUAGGUCGUAUGACAGUUGGAUCAACACGCGAGGGCGCAGCGGCUAGGUCGUAUGACAGUUGGAUCAACACGCGAGGGCGCAGCGGCUAGGUCGUAUGACAGUUGGAUCAACACGCGAGGGCGCAGCGGCUAGGUCGUAUGACAGUUGGAUCAACACGCGAGGGCGCAGCGGCUAGGUCGUAUGACAGUUGGGUCAACACGCGAGGGCGCAGCGGCUAGGUCGUAUGACAGUUGGAUCAACACGCGAGGGCGCAGCGGCUAGGUCGUAUGACAGUUGGUCAUUUCGUUUUAAGAAACUGCCCAUCGGUUUUCCAGAGUGGCUGUACCACUUGACAUUCCCACCAGCAACGUCUAAGACCAGCUUCUCCACAUCUUGUCACUGGCAACUUGUGUUCAUUCAUCCAACAGGUAUUUAUGAAUGCCCAGCCUGUGUGCCAAGCACUGUUCUAGACGCUGGGUUUACAGCAACAAAAGACUCAUAAUUCGCAUUACCAAAUAGGAGCUUUCAUACUGAAGGGCGUACACAGCAACACACAAGUCAACAAACUGAUCAUGAGUGAUGGAUGCACACGGCUCCUCAAAGGUACAUGAGUGGUGACGUGCGGUGGUGCCACGUCUCUGAGCUGGGAAUCUCCUUCCUGUUGACUGGAGGAAGCCGUGAUGUCCCACAGUCUGGGGUCCUGAUACACGGGAGAGGCCGGCACAGAGCGGAAGAUGCCGAGGGGCUGCGGAAAGGGCAGCAAAGCCACUGCAAGUGAAGCCCAGAAGGAGACAAGUGAUGAGCCAAACGGGUCAUGAGACCAGCCCACCGACAGCCACGUCCAUUCUGAGGGGAGUACCAUCCUUAUCCUGGACCCAGGGCAAGGGAUGCAGAGUCUGAGAGACAACUCCGGGGCCACCAGAUCACAGACCACAGGCUGUCUUCUGGAAGGCUGCAGUGAUCCACACGUCCUCCAGCAACUUGGGAGAGCUCUUGGCUGAGCUCAUUAACGUCCUACAUUUUCCUCCUUCCAGGCUGCCCCUCCCCCACCAGUCUUCUUUCUCUGACAUGGUAUGAGCCGAGCCGAGCCACAUCAGUCUCACCUGCUCGCGGCCCGUGAGCCCUCCCAGUCUACAGCCCUUGGGCAGGCACAGGGCAAACUCCAGAGAUGCUCACUUUCCCGGCUCGGCCUGGCCAGUACCUCCCAGAAGCCCAAGAGAGAAACCCAAGCCAGGGUGGGAGCGACGUCUUCCAGGACCUGAGGGCGCAGAUGGCAGAGACAGUGGCAGGGCUGGCUCCUCACAUGCUCGCAGGGCACGCUGUUCUAAACUCACGCUGGCUGAGCUGCCCUCACAAGCCAGCAGCCCAGGGGCCCCCACACGCCCACAGCCUCUUAGCAAGGGCGAGGGAAGCCUGAAGCAGCUGCUGCCCCAGGACCUGCCCUCUCAGGAGCAAGGCCAGAGACGGCAGACAGGAGGGAACGGGCAACAAAGAACACGGGAGAGUCAAGUUCGUACAAACAAGAGGCCUUCUCGUUCACAUGCUCCGGGCCGGUCAUGCUCUAGGCUGGACCAGAACCAAAAGGCUUGCCAGCCACUGCUCCUAAGCUCCACUGUGACUCACGCGACAGGAAAACAAAGCUGACCCAGCGCAGACAGCCGGGCCCCAAGUACGGCUGCAACUCCAAAGAAACGCACCUGCCAGAGAUGAACCUGCAGAACGGACGGCACCGGGCGCGGCCAGAGGAGAAAACAGCUCAGGGGAAGGUGGGAGAGGGGACGGCGUGAAAAAAACUCUUAAAAUCGUCCGCCAGUCCACACGAUCCAGGUCCCGUGCUGCCCUCCGCAACCCACACCCUGGCCUGAGCGGAGCUCGGUGCCCAAGGCCCCAGCCUUGUUGCUGUGGCUCCCGCUUCCUGGAACACUCUUGCCCUUGACCCCUUACUGAGCCUUAAAGCUCAGUUAGCAAGGGCGCGUGCACGUAGGGGCUGGCUGGAGCGGCCUCUGAGUGCCCAUUAGCAGGGAUGGGCUGAAAAGUGUGACUCACACACACAAUGGGAUCCUUUAUGUCUCUUUGUCACUCACCCUCCACGGCAAGUCCGUUAGCGAGUUCUGUUGCCACAACCUCCAAAAUGAUCCUGAAUUCACUUCCUUCCCCAUCCUUCCUAGGCCAAGCGACCACCAUCAUUUUUCACCUGGACAGCUCCAUCAGAUCCUCUGCUGGUCUCCCCAAAUCCACUCUUGCCUUCCUAGAUUCGAUGCUCCACACACAGCCAGAGAGAUCAAAUCAAACAGGGAUCACACCAGAUUGCUUUCCUGCUUAAAAUCUCUCAACAGCUCUCGAACCUCAUCUCCUUCCACUUUACCCAUCACCCAAAUGCUCCUACUGCACUGGCUUUCUUUCCCUUCCAAGCUCAUUCCUGCCCCAGGGCCUUUGCACAUUUUACCUUUGCUCUUCUCAAGGCUGGUUUCUUCCUGCCAGUCAGGUCUCCCCAUGACUGUACACAGUGGUGAGUAGGCAUGAGACCUAACUACGCACAGUGACAGGGACGUCUCACAGACAUAAUGCUGAACAGAAAGGCCAGGCACAAAGGAGCAUUUACAUAAAGUUCAAAGUGAAAUGUCAAGAGAGUGGUUUUGCUCGGAAGGGAGGAAUGACUGGAAGGGGCAGAAAGGGGACUUUAGGGGCUGGAAAUACUGUUUUUCCGAGCUGGCUACAUGGGUGUGUUCAGGGUGUGAAUGUGCAUCUAACUACACAUCUUUGACAUGUGUGCUUGCCUUUUUCUGCAUUACAUGAUAGUUUAAUUAAAACAUUUUGGCUGCCCA
rnacentral:lncRNA from 1 species